AUACGUAGGGGGCUAGCGUUAUCCGGAAUUACUGGGCGUAAAGGGUGCGUAGGUGGUUUCUUAAGUCAGAAGUGAAAGGCUACGGCUCAACCGUAGUAAGCUUUUGAAACUAAGAGACUUGAGUGCAGGAGUGGAGAGUAGAAUUCCUAGUGUAGCGGUGAAAUGCGUAUAUAUUAGGAGGAAUACCAGUUGCGAAGGCGGCUCUCGGGACGGUAACUGACUCUCAUGCCCGAAAGCGGGGGGAGAAAACAGGAUUAGAUACCUUGGUAGUCGACGCCGUAAACGAUGAGUACUAGCUGUCGGGGGUUCCGCCCCUCGGUGGCGCAGCUAACGCAUUAAGUACUCCGCCUGGGAAGUACGCUCGCAAGAGUGAAACUCAAAUGAAUUGGCGGGG
rnacentral:rRNA from 1 species